rnacentral:rRNA from 1 species
GACGAACGCUGGCGGCGUGCUUAAUACCUGCAAGUCGAGCGAGGCCCAUCCAGUGGCAACACUGGGGAAGGCCGAGCGGCGAACGGGUGAGUAACACGUGAGCAACCUGCCCCGAAGUCUGGAAUAACAUCGGGAAACCGGUGCUAAUACCGGAUUGCCCCACCUGACCGCAUGAUCGGGUGAGGAAAGAUUUAUCGCUUCGGGAGGGGCUCGCGGCCUAUCAGCUAGUUGGCGGGGAACGGCCCACCAAGGCGUCGACGGGUAGCUGGUCUGAGAGGACGACCAGCCACACUGGGACUGAGACACGGCCCAGACUCCUACGGGAGGCAGCAGUAGGGAAUCUUGCGCAAUGGGCGAAAGCCUGACGCAGCAACGCCGCGUGGGGAUGACGGCCUCGGUUGUAACCC